ACUGUUUUCAAUUAUCUGUGCCCUGUUCGGGGGUGGGUGGGGUGGGCGUAACCCCCCCCCCCCCCGAACAGGGCACAGAUAAUUGAAAAC